rnacentral:rRNA from 1 species
GACGAACGCUGGCGGCGUGCUUAACACAUGCAAGUCGAACGGAAAGGCCCUGCUUUUGUGGGGUGCUCGAGUGGCGAACGGGUGAGUAACACGUGAGUAACCUGCCCUUGACUUUGGGAUAACUUCAGGAAACAGGGGCUAAUACCGGAUAGGAGCUACUGCUGCAUGGUGGGGGUUGGAAAGAUUCGGCGGUUGGGGAUGGACUCGCGGCUUAUCAGCUUGUUGGGGGGGUAGUGGCUUACCAAGGCUUUGACGGGUAGCCGGCCUGAGAGGGUUACCGGCGACAUUGGGACUGAGAUACGGCCCAGACUCCUACGGGAGGCAGCAGGGGGGAAUAUUGCACAAUGGGCGGAAGCCUGAUGCAGCAACGCCGCGUGCGGGAUGACGGCCUUCGGGUUGUAAACCGCUUUCGCCUGUGACGAAGCGUGAGUGACGGUAAUGGGUAAAGAAGCACCGGCUAACUACGUG